rnacentral:snoRNA from 1 species
AUACUUUUUUUGUUCAUAAGUGUGAUGAUUGAGUUUUUAUACCAUUGUGAGGUGUGCCUCCCUCAAACUGUGUUACAUCAGCAUAUUAUCUGUCUGAUA